AACGCACCUUGCACCCUUUGGCUAUUCCGAAGGGUAUGCCUGUUUGAGUAUCAUGAACACCUCAACUCUCAUGGCUUGCCAUGAUGAGCUUGGACUUUGGGGGUCUUGCUGGCCUGUGAGUCAGCUCCUCUCAAAUGAAUUAGCUUGCCAGUGUUUGGUGGCAUCACAGGUGUGAUAACUGUCUACGCUUGUGGUUUUCCACCAGGUAACCUUCAGCAAUGGAGGUUCGCUGGAGCUCAUAAAUGUCUCUCCUCGGUGAGGACAGAUUUUUGACCGUUUGAUCUCAAAUCAGGUAGGACUACCCGCUGAACUUAA
rnacentral:rRNA from 1 species